rnacentral:rRNA from 1 species
GAAUUCGCCCUUAGAGUUUGAUCCUGGCUCAGGACGAACGCUGGCGGCGUGCCUAACACAUGCAAGUCGAACGAAGCUUUGAGGAGCUUGCUUUUUAAAGCUUAGUGGCGGACGGGUGAGUAACGCGUGAGCAACCUGCCUCUCAGAGGGGGAUAACGUUUUGAAAAGAACGCUUAUACCGCAUAACAUAUCGGAAACCGCAUGAUUCUGAUAUCAAAGGAGCAAUCCGCUGAGAGAUGGGCUCGCGUCCGAUUAGUUAGUUGGUGAGGUAACGGCUCACCAAGACUACGAUCGGUAGCCGGACUGAGAGGUUGAUCGGCCACAUUGGGACUGAGACACGGCCCAGACUCCUACGGGAGGCAGCAGUGGGGAAAUAUUGCACAAUGGGGGAAACCCUGAUGCAGCGACGCCGCGUGGAGGAAGAAGGUCUUCGGAUUGUAAACUCCUGUUGUUGAGGAAGAUAAUGACGGUACUCAACAAGGAAGUGACGGCUAACUACGUGCCAGCAGCCGCGGCAAAACGUAGGUCACAAGCGUUGUCCGGAAUUACUGGGUGUAAAGGGAGCGCAGGCGGGAAGACAAGUUGGAAGUGAAAUCCAUGGGCUCAACCCAUGAACUGCUUUCAAAACUGUUUUUCUUGAGUAGUGCAGAGGUAGGCGGAAUUCCCGGUGUAGCGGUGGAAUGCGUAGAUAUCGGGAGGAACACCAGUGGCGAAGGCGGCCUACUGGGCACCAACUGACGCUGAGGCUCGAAAGUGUGGGUAGCAAACAGGAUUAGAUACCCUGGUAGUCCACACUGUAAACGAUGAUUACUAGGU